ACAUCCUUUGACCGCUCUAGAGAUAGAGUCUUCCCCUUCGGGGGACAAAGUGACAGGUGGUGCAUGGUUGUCGUCAGCUCGUGUCGUGAGAUGUUGGGUUAAGUCCCGCAACGAGCGCAACCCUUAAGCUUAGUUGCCAUCAUUUAGUUGGGCACUCUAAGUUGACUGCCGGUGACAAACCGGAGGAAGGUGGGGAUGACGUCAAAUCAUCAUGCCCCUUAUGAUUUGGGCUACACACGUGCUACAAUGGACAAUACAAAGGGCAGCGAAACCGCGAGGUCAAGCAAAUCCCAUAAAGUUGUUCUCAGUUCGGAUUGUAGUCUGCAACUCGACUACAUGAAGCUGGAAUCGCUAGUAAUCGUAGAUCAGCAUGCUACGGUGAAUACGUUCCCGGGUCUUGUACACACCGCCCGUCACACCACGAGAGUUUGUAACACCCGAAGCCGGUGGAGUAACCAUUUGGAGCUAGCCGUCGAAGGUGGGACAAAUGAUUGGGGUGAAGUCGUAACAAGGUAGCCGUAUCGGAAGGUGCGGCUGGAUCACCUCCUUUCUAAGGA
rnacentral:rRNA from 1 species